rnacentral:rRNA from 1 species
CUACGGGUCGCUGCAGCUAGGAAACUUCUACAAUGUACGAAAGUAUGAUAGAGCGAGCCAGAGUGAUUCUCUAAUAAUUGAGAAUCUUUUAUGUGAUGUAAAAAGUCACAUGAAUAAGGACUGGGUAAGACAGGUGCCAGCCGCCGCGGUAAUACCUGCGGUCCAAGUCGCAGCCUUUUUUAUUGGGUCUAAAACAUCCGUAGCUUGUUUCGUCAGUCCUUUGUGAAAUCUGGCAUCUUAAGUGUCAGGCGCGCAAGGGAUACUGCGGAGCUAGAGACCGGGAGACGUGAAGAGUACGCAUAGAGUAGCGGUCAAAUGUGUUGAUCCUUUGUGGACUAACGAUAGCGAAGGCACUUCACGAGAACGGAUCUGACAGUGAGGGAUGAAGGCUAGGGGCGCAAAACGGAUUAGAUACCCGCGUAGUC